rnacentral:rRNA from 1 species
CGUUAGCGGCGGACGGGUGAGUAACACGUGGAUAACCUACCUAUAAGACUGGGAUAACUUCGGGAAACCGGAGCUAAUACCGGAUAAUAUAUUGAACCGCAUGGUUCAAUAGUGAAAGACGGUUUUACUGUCACUUAUAGAUGGAUCCGCGCCGCAUUAGCUAGUUGGUAAGGUAACGGCUUACCAAGGCAACGAUGCGUAGCCGACCUGAGAGGGUGAUCGGCCACACUGGAACUGAGACACGGUCCAGACUCCUACGGGAGGCAGCAGUA